AAGAACUCAAAAGGUUUUUGGCUGUUUUUU
rnacentral:piRNA from 1 species